ensembl:lncRNA
CAUCCACGCCCUAGGAGGGAUCCUCUCUCCGAAGGCCCGAAUCCCCUCCCCGAGACUCCGCAGUGGGUGUCCCCGCGCCGCACUCCCUCCUCCGCCCUUUCCUCCUGGCUGCCAUAGCAACCGGCCUUCCAGGUCCGGACCCCGGUCCCGGCGCCCCCGGGCCUCCUCUCCCCCUCCCCCAGGCCAGCCCCCUGCUCCGGAUUGGUCUUUCGGGAAACGCUACGGGGAGCCAGGUUUCCAGCGGCAGAGGGCCGAGGCCAGCGGGCGGGGUCUGCCCGCGCAGCGUAGGUGGGGCCGGCCGCCCCUGACAGCUCCGCGAGCUUGGGGCGCGACCUGACGCCGGCGCCCCGGGACCCCGCGCCAGCCCGCCGCCUGCCCGCCGCGCAGCCCGAGAUACCGGGAAAAUUGAGGUUAUGAAGCAGAAGAGAGAAAUUUCAGAGAAGCCAAACAUAAUUCAUAUCAUCCAAGAGUGAGCAGAAGUCAUUGGGAGUACUGAGGAAGAAGCAAUUAACUAUGGGUGAGUAAAGAGAACAAAAAAAGUGAUAUUUCAUGAGGGGCUUGAAGGCUGAAUAAGAAAAGAGUAAGUGUAUUCCAAGAAGGGAAACUGGAUAUAUAAAGCUGCUUGGCAUUAAAAGACAUUUUAAGGUAGGGAAGUCAAACUUUAGAAGUAAACUGUAUGAAUAAUGAAAGCAGAUCUCAGAACUUUCCUUUAGAGCUGAAUAUUUAACCAAAACUCCUUGGACUUUGAAGGAAAGGACCAGAGAUGCCUUGAAAUCCUGAGUAAAUACUGAUCCUCUAGUGUCUUAGAGGUGGAAAUUAAUUCACUGCUACCUCCUGAUCACUUUGACUCCCUUGGAAAGUGUAGAGAAGGUAAGGAGUAGUAGGGAGAAGGGCCAGGGAUAGUGCAUGGGUGUGUGUAUUUGCAGAGCUGUUUGGAGAAGUACAGAGACAGUCUUGAAAAUAGAGCAGGGGUUGUUUUUUGCGCUUUAAAAGAAACAGCCUUCCAAGGGGAAACCAUAAUCACGUUGUUUUUAUUGUCUGUGGCCUGGAGCAAAUGCUGGUCUGUAAGCAUUCCGAUGCUCCCAACUCAAAUAGCCUUCUUAGGAAUGUCUCCCCACCUUUGCAGUGUACUUCACGGGGGACCCUAGAAUGUCCUACAAAAGCAACGGGGCAUCAAAACCACAAUGUUUCAGAAAAUUUCCAGCCCAAGGUGCUCUGGACAGGGGUACUUGUUACAAGCCUGCCCUUGUUUCAGGAGGG